AUUCAGCUGACCAGUCCCAAAUAGGACGAAGCAUUCGUCGUGGAU
rnacentral:hammerhead_ribozyme from 1 species